CUUCCUUAGCCUUUUCUGAAUAUUUCCUCCGAAUCCCUUUUUUCUAUGCUUUUUUUUCCAAAUCUCAUUAUCUAUCUCCCCCAGUCUUCUCUCCUAGUCUCGUUUUUUUAAAUUCCUGGUAUUUUGUUCUCCUAUUUUACUCCCAAUCUUUACCUCCUUUCUAACACUCCUGUUAGAAACGUAGAAUGUUAAACUUAUUGUCAAACACACCGGAUACAGGUACAAAGCAAUUUUCCACUGUCUUUUUCCAGACUGUCUUUCCCCUCUCCCCUAGAAUUAUUACUCUUCUCAGGACAACUUGUCUUUCAUCUAUUCACCUGAUAAUAUCCCCCAGCCUUUAC